GUCAACGACCAUACCAUGUUGAAAGCACAAGUUCUCGUCCGAUCACUUAAGUUAAGCAACAUUGGGCGCGGUCAGUACUUGGAUGGGUGACCGCUUGGGAAUACCGCGUGCCGUUGACC
rnacentral:rRNA from 1 species